AUGGCGGUGGAUCCGCCUCGGCAGGUGGAUCCGCCUCAAGCAGGGCUGCUGGGGCACAACACCAGCAUGGCCGGAUUGCCUUCAGCGCCGUGGUGCCCGAAGCGCCGCACGACGGCUGGGGGCUCUCCCAGAGCCCCCAAACAGGCGCCUGGCCGCAAGCGGCGCCGCCCCCGCAGCCGCCACUAGCCGGAAGGGGCAGCACAGCCACCUCCGGGGGAUGGGCCGGACCAGCAGCCGCUGUGGAGCCACAGGUGAGCCCGGCUUCCCAACCCGCACAACCGGCCCUCAUGCCGGGGCAUCUCCUCUGCCCUGCGGCCUGGGGAAGAGGCGAGGAGAGUCGCUGCCAUCUUCUGGUCGGCAGCCCCAGAGCACCGGGAGGAGUCCUUAGGAGCCACCACACACUGGGGGACAGCGCCACAGACACCAGGACACCCGAGGACACCGCUGGAGCUUGCCUUCAAGGAAAAUAAGCCCACUGGAGACCGCCAGAGACUGUCGGAGACCAAAGGACACCGUGGGAUCUGCACCUUGCCUUAAAAAAAGGAAGAGUUUGGAGACUUGGAGACAAAACCUUACGAGGUUUGGUCAGGAAUUCUUGACAGGACUGCUGGAAGGAUUUUUCGAAGUGUUCUUGCCCCCAAGGUUCAUUAGGUCAGAGGCAUUUGGGCACUCUCCCAAGUCCGGGAGAUGGUUCCACCUUAAGGUAGGAUAGGCUAGGGCUUGGGCAGGUCCUGGGAGGCGUGAGCAGCUUGUGGGACAAGGAGCCAGGUCUUGCUCCCAUGCUCAGAUCGCCAGCACUGGGGUCAGGAAGGAAUUUUUUCCCCCGGGGCAGAUUGGCACUGGUCUCCGGGGGUUUUUUGCCUUCCUCUGCAGCAUUGAGCAUGACCACUUUGCAGAGCUCCUCUGGGCCCUUUUGGCUCAGAUCCUGCCUGCUGCUCAAGCACCAGGAACAUGGCCUCUCGUGCCCUGCAGCUGGGGGGAGGAAGGCUUUUUUUUCCCCCAGGCGGGACACCAAGCGUCUCUGGGGGUUUUUUGCCUUCCUCUGCAGCAUUGAGCACGGCCCCUUGCCACGGCUUCUUUGGGCCAUUUGGGCUGGGUGCCUGCUGCUCCACGAGGUGGCCCUAAACUUAGCUAGAACAGCCUACCUACACCAGCAUAGAACAGCUCACCUAAACCAACCUUAAACAACUGCAAACAACUAACCAGCCUUCAAGAACCUAAAAUAAAAUAGAAAGAAACACUA